UGAAAUCGCCAUUCCCUGCUUGGUUCGAGUACUUCAGCUUUGUCCUGAUUUACCUGUUUCCCCUGCAGACUUUUCCUUUAUCCCCGGCCGAGUCUUUCCAUUGAUUUAUUUUAAUGGAAUCCCUUGUGUCUCCCAGCUGUUUUAAGUCGUAGCCUGGCAUACACAUAACCUAUUCAUCCCCAGAGUCUCUGUCUCCCCCAGUGAUUUUUCCUUAUGGAAAGUAUUGUGCUCCUGCGGAUUUUCAAUCUCUCCGAAUUCU
rnacentral:lncRNA from 1 species